rnacentral:lncRNA from 1 species
CUAUAAUAUAUGGUCCUUUUUUUUUUUAAAGCCCCGAGUCUUGAAGGGAAUACAGAUCUUCAUGAAUGACUGUGUUCCUCCACUUACUACACUGAAACAGAAAGUAUGGAGUCCUGGGAAGCCAACUUCUCACAUAAAUAUCCUUUCUCCUACUUGAACACUUGAAGCAAGCUGCUCUGUUCAGCCAGGGUCAGAAGCCAUGGUCUUGCUUCCUUAUCCUCUUGGACUGCAUUUAAUUUCUGCCAAAUAAUGUUUAGCUGUCAGGCUUCAAGAGUCACUCCUGAACAAGCUGUCUUGAACAUAGUUCUUCUACUUUGUGUACUGGCUAUAAACAAAAAGUAUGAGUCACUUUUUAUGUGUCUUCGGAAUAUUUAUAUAGUUCCUUGAGGAUAUAAUGAUGUGUUUUGGAUAUAUUCAUACUCCCCAACUCCUCUCAAAUCCACCCCACUUCCCUAUCCACCCAACCUUAGGCCACACUCCUUAAACCCAUGUGGGCCUAUCUCUGCCAUUCAAAUGUUCUCCAAUUCACCGCCUUCCUCUGGAACAUGGUCCACUUGCCAGUGGCUAUGCUCUUAAAAUUGGCUCUCUCUCUCUCUCUCUCUCUCUCUCUCUCUCUCUCUCUCUUUCCCAGCAACUGUCAAUCACCAAUAGCUCCUCUGCUGGAGGCGGGACUUCAUGCCUACCUCCACUCUCCAUGCAGGGACUUCUUCUGGCUUGGCUGUCAGGUUUAUUUCACAAAUGCUUAAAUCCACGUGUGAAGUGGUUGUCCCACUAUCCCUGAAGACGUAAAAGUUCAAAGGUAGAUUGAAGCUCUGAGUAAAACUGUAACCAUCUGAUCCCUUAAAUUUUUCUACUAGUUCUUUGAGAGUUUUGUACAAUGCUAUUUGAUCAUAUUCGCCCCUCACCCUCCCAACUCAUCUAUGAUAACCCCCAGUUCCCUGCCUUACUUGGGUAGCCUGUGUCCUUUAAGAAUAUAUCAUUACCAGUUUGUGCUAUCCAAAUAUUCUUGGUGGUGUAGUCUUCCACUUGAGUGUGGUCCACUUACCGGGGACUGCAUGCACGCUUAGAGAAAACUGUCUUUCCUCCCAGCAGCUAACGAUUGCCAUUAGCUCUAUGUCCAGGAGUGAGCUUUGUACCCACCUCCCCUCUCUGUGCUGGGAUUUGACCUGAGCUUGCACUGAUCCUGCCCUUGUAGUCACAGUCACGUGCAGUCAUGUGUGUACUAGCCCUGUUGUAUCUGGAACACACUCUCUUCUCAUAGUCAUCAGAUGCCUCUGGCUCUUAAACUCUUUCUGCUCCCUCCUCUGCUGUGAUCUCUGAGCCUCAGGACAGAGCUACAGUGUACUCAAUGAAACAGGAAACUUUUCUUUUGACUAGGUAAAAUUCUACUGUGACAUGAUGGAAAUUAAUCUUUCAUUAUUUUGGUAAGCAGCCUUGAAAUUUUUCCUUGAGAGCAAUUCCCAGUUGGGUCAAUAAUGUAGGCACAGGUGUGUUUUGCCCUAUCUGCUGCCCCUUUGGUAGAGCAAUAGGAUACAGCCACCAUAGAAGCCACCAAUCUGACUCAGGUUCUUUCUAUAUAGCAGCUUUGUAUGCCCACAGCCAUCUGUAUGUUGGGCACCUCUGUUAAUCCCACCGCCCACCAUGGACACUGACAGACUGGGCAGUG